CUCCAGCUAUAUACAUUUAGAAUGUGGGAGGGUUUCAUUUCCUAGGUCAGGGGUUGGCAGACUACAGCCCCUGGAGCAAAUGUGGCCUCCAGCCUGACUGUGUAAGUAAAGUUUUACUGCAGCAAAGACACAUCCCAUUACAUUCUGUCUACGGCUGCUUAAGCAGUUGUGAUUGAGACCAUUUUUGUGUAGAAAGCCUAAGGCAGUGGUUCUCAACCUUACUAAUGCUGCAGCCCUUUAAUAUACUUCGUCAUGUCGCGGUGACCCCCAACAACAAAGUUAUUUCAUUGUUACUUCAUAACUGUAAUUUUGCUGUUGCUGCGAAUCAUGGAAAUAUCUGUUAUGGAAAUAUCUGUUAUGUGACUCACCUUUCUCCACCACACACACACACAGGGUCUUGACUUGUGGUUGAAAACUGCUGACCUAAGGUUAUUUUACUUCCUGCCUUACAAAGAAAAAGUUUACCAACCUUUGUCUUAGGAAAUUGUAAGAAAUGUGGUGGGGAGAUCGAUCCUAAUUUAAUCUAAGAUUUUGUUUGAAUCCACCAUAGGGAAAAAAUGAUUCUCUGGGGAUCCUCUUUGCAGAGAUGGACCAGGCUGUGGUUCAUUGCGAUGUGGUUUUCCUCAAGAGUCCGCAAGGCACUGAUGGUGCCAUUGUCAAGGCUGAUGCUUUUCCUGUCACACACUGGAAGGGUCAUCUGAAGCGACUCUGAGAAGAGAGGCCACACCGCGGCAAGUUUUGAUUGGUCUGUGAAGACAGGCAAAUGUAGGGCUGACAAGGAGAGCGCUUGUGUUUGCUGUCAGUAUGUUAAGUCUGUGAGAGGGUAAUUAGAGGACGGUCUCCGUGACAGCCUCAGCCGACUUUGAACAGUGGCUGUUGUCAGCCCACAGUAUAACUGGCCCCUUUGGAAAGGCAGAGUUUGGAGAUAAGGGUGCAUGCUUUCUGAGCACAGCUCUGAACUCUGUUGCAAUCCUAGGUGUGACUAAGCUAGUUUGCCCCAAAUUACUUUCUUUUUUUAUUUAUUUUUUUCAUCUUUAUUAACUUGAGUAUUUCUUAUUUACAUUUCGAUUGUUAUUCUCUUUCCCGGUUUCCAGGCCAACAUUCCUCUAACCCCUCCCCCUCCCCUUCUCGAUGGUUGUUCCCCUCCCCAUCCUCCCCCCAUUGCCGCCCUCCCCCCAACAAUCACGUUCACUGGGGGUUCAGUCUUGGCAGGACCAAGGGCUUCCCCUUCCACUGGUGCUCUUACUAGGAUAUUCAUUGCUACCUAUGAGGUCAGAGUCCAGGGUCAGUCCAUGUAUAGUCUUUAGGUAGUGGCUUAGUCCCUGGAAGCUCUGGUUGGUUGGCAUUGUUGUUCAUAAGGGGUCUCGAGCCCCUUCAAGGUCUGGAAUUUCCUCUUCUUAAUUUUUCGUUUCUGUCUUUCGGACACAAGAAGUUUUCUUACAAAUAAGAGAGUCCUUCAAAAAUCAUAGUUCUCGCCCCCCAACCCCCAAACAAAGUCUCAAGAAAUAGAUUCAUCCUUAAACUUUGACGUUCAACAAGUUCUUGUGAAGAAUCUGUCUGCUGACGCAGCACUGAGAUACUAAGUUUUCAAUAGGCUGCUCUCAUUUAGAUUGCUAUUUUAUGUCUUGUGCUUUUAAAUUUGAGCUGAACUGCACCAAUAAGAUAUUAUGUAACUUAGAUCUUUAAACUUCUAUUUUGAAUUAAUGCAAUUUUACUCUGACACACACACACACAUACACACACACACACACACAUUUGCUUAUAGAGAAAUGUAAUAAACAACCUUGGACAAACUUGUA